rnacentral:rRNA from 1 species
UACGAAGGGGGCUAGCGUUGCUCGGAAUCACUGGGCGUAAAGCGCACGUAGGCGGAUUUUUAAGUCAGGGGUGAAAUCCUGGAGCUCAACUCCAGAACUGCCUUUGAUACUGGGAAUCUCGAGUCCGGGAGAGGUGAGUGGAACUCCGAGUGUAGAGGUGAAAUUCGUAGAUAUUCGGAAGAACACCAGUGGCGAAGGCGGCUCACUGGCCCGGUACUGACGCUGAGAUGCGAAAGCGUGGGGAGCAAACAGG